UACGUAGGGGGCAAGCGUUGUCCGGAUUUAUUGGGCGUAAAGAGCGUGUAGGCUGCCAGGUAGGUCUGGUGUGAAAACUCGAGGCUUAACCUCGAGAUGUCAUCGGAAACCAUCUGGCUAGAGUCCGGAAGAGGAGAGUGGAAUUCCUGGUGUAGCGGUGAAAUGCGCAGAUAUCAGGAAGAACACCAAUGGCGAAAGCAGCUCUCUGGGACGGUACUGACGCUGAGACGCGAAAGCGUGGGGAGCGAACAGG
rnacentral:rRNA from 1 species